CUUAAAAAUCCCGAGUCCGCCGCUAAAGAUAUGUUUUACUAUCAAUACAUCCCUAUUCGAUCGCGUAAACCAUUAUUUAAGUGGAGGAUUACGCUAUCUGAGGAGGGGCUACUAUUUAUUUGGGAUUACAAUGUCAUCGGAUAAGCUCCAAAAAGUCCUCGCCCUCAAAUAUAUAGAGGUAAGGGCACAAGCAUACUCAUUACUCUCAUCCCUAUUUCUUCACCUGCUUCCCCUUUACUUCCUCUUCUUCCACACAGGUUAUCUCUGCAAACUGUGAGAGUUUCUAGGUCUCGUGUGUGUGUUCUUCUCUCCCUUUUCCGCUUGUUUAAUGCUGCCCCACCCCCUGUCAGCAUAUUCACAAAUCUGAUUCAAUUCCUUCUUCCCCUCCAAGUCUUUUGUGCUAUUUUUGUUGAAAUCUUGAGUGACAUUUGGACAGAUACUAAAAGAGGGUCUUUCUUUUCUUUCUUCCCAUUUUCUUGUUUUUUUCUUCAAGUCUUCCUUUAUUUUUCAUUUUGAGUGAAAAUAUGUGGAGAACUGUUGUGAUUGUUGUAACAUAAAAUUUAUUGAAUGUUGCUAUGUUGCUGUAACUUGCUUUUUGACUAAACUUAUUUUAUCUGUAUCACUGCCUUUUAUUUUCUUCAUUUUAAUGAACAAAAUUUGGAUGACUGGGAUGCUAUCUGGGUAAGGAAAAUCGAUCUAGUCAAUUUUUCACUUGAAAGGAUGAAAUGUAUUCCAAGAGCACUUUGGAACCAGAAAUGCCAUGGCAAAUAAAAAGAAGACUGACGCAGGAUAAAGACAUAAUCCUAUUCAUGCUUUUCAUCAUUUCAUACCGAGGGAUAAGAAUCCUGGGAUAUUUCCUUUUGAACCCAACUGAAGGAAGGCGUGCAGUUAUUCUCAGCAAAGCCAACCAAAGUUAUAAAUGAGUUACUGGCAUUCCAUCAGUCACUUGGAUCAAACUAGUACAGAGUAAUAAAUGUUAUAAGCUUAACUUGUAAGGCCGAACUAGUAAAGAGUAGAGUCCAAGUCUGAAUGAUGAUAUGAACUAAAUUUCCUCAAAGUCAUAUAAGUUUUAAUUAACACAAUCCUCCUAUUUCAUGAUUAGGAAUGAAGUUCUCCUACAACCCAAAAGGCAUGUUAAUCUGUGUUUAAACAAGAUUAAAGGUUUUCUCUUCCCAAAUAUUUGAAGGACUGAGCAAGACAAGUGGGAAAGGAUUCUGAUGGAAAUCAAAACUUUGACCUAGUAACUGUAAAAUGCUCACCGAACUAAAUUAA